rnacentral:rRNA from 1 species
AUUGAACGCUGGCGGCAGGCCUAACACAUGCCAGUCGAGCGGAUGAAGGGAGCUUGCUCCUGGAUGCCGCGGCGGACGGGUGAGUAAUGCCUAGGAAUCUGCCUGGUUGUGGGGGAUAACGUCCGGAAACGGGCGCUAAUACCGCAUACGUCCUGAGGGUGAAAGUGGGGGAUCUUCGGACCUUCUGCUAUCAGAUGAGCAUAGGUCGGAUUAGCUAGUUGGUGGGGUAAAUGCCUACCAAGGCGACGAUCCGUAACUGGUCUGAGAGGAUGAUCAGCCACCCUGGAAGUGAGACACGGUCCCGACUCCUACGGGGAGCAGCAGUGGGGAAUCUUGGACAAUGGAGGAAAGCCUGAUCCAGCAAUGCCGCGUGUGUCAAGAAGGUCUUCGGAUUGGAAAGCACUUUAAGUUGGGAGGAAGGGCAGUAAGUUAAUACCUUGCUGUAUUGACGGUACCAACAGAAUAAGCACCGGCUAACUUCGUG